GACGAACGCUGGCGGCGUGCUUAACACAUGCAAGUCGAACGGAAAGGCCCUGCUUUUGUGGGGUGCUCGAGUGGCGAACGGGUGAGUAACACGUGAGUAACCUGCCCUUGACUUUGGGAUAACUUCAGGAAACUGGGGCUAAUACCGGAUAGGAGCUCCUGCUGCAUGGUGGGGGUUGGAAAGUUUCGGCGGUUGGGGAUGGACUCGCGGCUUAUCAGCUUGUUGGUGGGGUAGUGGCUUACCAAGGCUUUGACGGGUAGCCGGCCUGAGAGGGUGACCAGCCACAUUGGGACUGAGAUACGGCCAGACUCCUACGGGAGGCAGCAGUGGGGAAUAUUGCACAAUGGGCGGAAGCCUGAUGCAGCAACGCCGCGUGCGGGAUGACGGCCUUCGGGUUGUAAACCGCUUUCGCCUGUGACGAAGCGUGAGUGACGGUAAUGGGUAAAGAAGCACCGGCUAACUACGUG
rnacentral:rRNA from 1 species